rnacentral:tRNA from 1 species
GCCGAUAUAGCUCAGCUGGCUAGAGCGAGGGAUUCAUAAACCCUAGGUCGGAGGUUCGAGUCCUCCUAUCGGCA